UUUAAGCUACAGAUGAUUCUGGAAUUGCUGGAAUCAGGAUGCACAGACCACAGCUGGAAGCCUUUAUCGAUUCCAUUUCAUGACAUUUAUUAAGUUGGAAAUAUGAGAAGUGGGUAGGCAUCUAUCGUUAAAUGAGAUAAAACAUAUAAAAUACCAGGCACUGAAAUGAACAUUUGCUACCCUCUCUUCCACGCAACCCCAUGGGGAAGAAGAUUAACAGGCAAUCACUCAAAUUGUCACUGAUCAUUUCUUGGGUUCCUGGAACCUGGAACCAGAGUGAUGUUUGGGAUGUGAGGAGCUUCUUUCAUAGGCGGAGUCUAGAAUUGUAUCAGAAGAAAGGAAAAAUUAAUGGAAAAUGACUUGAUCUUACACCCGAUCGUUUGGAACAUUCCAAAGCCAAGAGAGGCCUUUCUUGUCACACGUGAUUUCAUGAUAAUUAGGGCCAGCUGUGCCUGGGCAAUUCAGGUCAAACCAGAUGCCAAACCCAACUCAAACACUUGCAGGAAGAUCUUGAUCGUCAAGAGCCUUCAAACAUCCUGUAGAAAAUCAAAAGAAGACUUCCUGUUUUCCUCACUGGAUCUGGUACCGUCUGGUACAGUUAUGGAAGUCAUGCACUGCACAAAAAAAAAGGUGUCAGACCAAGAGGUUGAGUAGUGUUGAAGUAAGUCUUUUUUCUUUUUUUUAAUUAACAUAAACAUUGUAUAGCCUAGUGGCUGCCCUGACUGGGACAGACAGUCUCCCAAAGUUUUCAUCAUCAGGUCUCUUUGCUGAUAUUUGAUUGCCUAUACAGUGUAAUCCAAUCUUACCUUUACCUUCAUUUUCUUUCUUUCUUUCUUUUUUUUUUUUUUUUUUGCAUCCUUAAUGCCUUAAAAUACUACUCAUUGUGUCUCCUGUAAGUACUGUAUUCCUUUUUUUCCUCUUUCCCCAUUAAGGAACUAUUUUUUUCUCUCAACUGAAGCAGCUUGUUUUCUGAUUAUACAUAAUAUUUGCCUGUUUAAAAAAUUUAAAGAAUACAUAAAAGUAUAAGGAAGAAAGUAAAAAAAAAUAAAAUCACCUGAAAUCCCA
rnacentral:lncRNA from 12 species